UCAAAAAAAAAAAAAAAAAAAAAAAAAGGAACUCAUACAGCUCAAUGAUACAUUGAUCCCAAUAAAUCGUUUUAAUAAUGAUGAAAACAUCCUACUGGGUUUUUCUAGUUAAAAACUUUAGGACAAGCGCAGUGGCUCAUGCUUGUUAUUCCAACACAUUUGGGAGGCUGAGGUGGGAGGAUUGCUUGACCCUAAGAGUUCUAGACUUGCCUGGGCCACAUAGUAAGUCCCUGUCCCAGCUCCCUGCAACAUCCUCCCCAACCCAAAAAAAAAAAAAAAAAGCCAGGCACAGUGGUGAGUGCCUGUGAUCCCAGCUGUGUUUGGAGGCUGAGGUGGGAGUAUCACCUGAGCCCUGGAGGUUGAGGCUGCAAUGAGAGCUGUGAUCAUGCCACUGCACUCCAGCCUGGGCAACAGAUGAGACCCUGUGUCACAACAAGGAAUUUUUAGAAAGUGCUUUUUAAAUGCAUUUUAUUACUCUUCACAGAGUUAAACUUUCAGAGGAUUUAGUAUUAUUGAACCAAGUUUCAUAAGUGUAUUUUAAGCAAGUAAAUCUCUAAUGUAGGAAAAUCCCCAAAAUGGUAGCAUUUACUAAUGUUUUAUAUGGUAAUUUUUGAAAAAUAUAUCUGAUAUUUCUUCAGUAAAAAUGGUGUUAUUUUAAUAACUUACUAAGAAUGUUUAAAGAUUCUUUAAGUCUGGCUUAUCUAGCUAAUGUGGGCCUAUUAAAUAAUAGGCAGACUUCCUUAUAUUCUUUAGAUCUUUUCAUAUGCUCCAUUCCAAUAUCCAUCAAAAGACUUCUCUUUAUGCCAAUUAUUAUCUGUACUAGUUUUUAAUGUUCAAUUACUACAAGAUUAUAAUUACUGUUUUUAUUCAUGUUCCCAAGAAAAAUACGUAAGAUUCACACCCAACACACUUCGAAAUUUAUUUCACUCCCUUUGACUGUAUGUGAUUAUCAAAAAAGUAUUUUUCAAGAUAUUAAAAAUAAGUAAAGAAAAGUGAAAUAUUUUUAGGACAUUCAAAAUCUAAUGAAGUUCAGUGUUUCUUUAAUUGAGGGCAGGUAGAGGUGGGGGAGAAUUUCAGAAGGUAGUGAACCCAAAGGUGGAUUCUUGGAUAAUUCUACUAUUCUGUACUUGCAGCAUCUUAACCCAUCUGUUUACUACCCUAACCAUAGUUACUAAGUGGAGUUUUAUCAUAAUAAUAUACACAGCUAUCAAAGUGUUGACAUUCAGAGGAGAUUACAAAUAUUAUUUUUCUAUCACGUUGACCUACCAUGUCCACAGUCUUCCUUGAAUUACCUUCCAAUUUUACUGGGCUGCAUCUACCAUUUAUGUCUAGUUUGACUUUUUCUGACUUCACCAAUUGCUGCUAGGAACGUGCUGGUCACUCAGCAGCACACCCACAUCACAGGGGAAGAUCUUGAAAUACCUGGACAGUCUGAACACGCUGCUCUGAAUACACUCAAUUCUAAGAAGUACCAGGGAACCGCAUCUUCUUGCUGAAAUCUUGAAUUUUUGUCAGCUUUUUUUUUUUUUUUUUGCUGUGGACAGUAAAGCUGGAAAGAUCUAAAUAACCCAACAGGAAAUGCCGAUGAAGGUGCAAGAGUUGGUUUGUGGUCAUCUGGAGUCCAUGUCUCCAAGACUGCUGGACCUUCAAAUUCUGCAACUUGUUAGAUCAUCUGGAUGAUAGCACAACUGUUAGAAGACCUAGAAGAAUACAGCAUUGCUGUGACUCGGUGAUGAAUGCAGACCAUCUACCAGCUGGGGAAAGAAUCAAUUAUAAACAGGAAAAGGGAUUCGUUCCUCAUUUUAACUGAUGUUACAGUGAAGAUGGGUUCUUGAACUCUUGGAAGCCUGGAUAAGCCACCUAAUGCGCAAGAUAAAAACCAAAGACUAAUAUUGGGGAAAAGAAUGCUUAGUACUUGAAGACUGAAUGUUGAAUACCUGUUGAAUAUUCCUAUUGAGGUUUUUUCCUAAAUAUACUUCAGUAACAUCUUAGGACAAUUCACUGGAGAAAUGUUGAUCCCUGGCUGGAAUGUCAUACCAUUGACCCAUCUGAAGAGUUAAAGCUGGAUUUGACUGCUCUUUUCUACCAAGAAUAUUGUUAGGGUAGCCUUUUACCAGUUUCUAAACAAUUGUAAUCAUUUAUUGACUCAGCAAUUCCUCAGAUAACAGGUCAAAAGAUGUACAGAUAUAUUCUAAAGUUUUCCUGUUAUUAAAGGCACAAGAGUUUCCUUGUAUUUUGACUGACAAUGUAGCAUGUUUCCAUUUUAGUUUGUUAGUGAUGGUGGUUUUCCCUCUGAAAGCCAUUUGGUGUAUUCACCAUAACAAUUAGUUUAAUAUGAUUACAUAAGAAAACUAUGAUAAAACCCAGCAAUUUUAGUAGUUGUGAAAAUACGUUUUUUAAAUCAUGUUUAAGAAGAAUUGCAGGACUUGAAACCAAAUCCUGAUGGGGAAAUUCUGUUUAAUCCUGUUUAAUCUGUUUAAUUUCUGUUCAAUCCUUAGUUUCUUAACCUGCAUAGCUUAUCCUAUAUUGUACUUUCUUUCUUUUUUAAACUCCCAAACAAGAAGCUUGAAAUGUUUCCUGUAUUUUAAAGUUGAAAUUUGGUCACAGGGUAUAGUCAGAUUUUUAUUAAGGUUUGGUUUGACAACCUUUAAAAGAAAGGUUUACCUCGCUAAUACUUCUUAAUAACAUGCAUCAAAUGAUAUUCCCUAUGGUGAAGUAUAUUCUCAAAGUUUUGUUAUCUUUCAUUUUUGGCAUUUGCUGCUUAUGGACUUAGUACCCAGGCAACAAAGAUCUAUUAUGUACCUACUGUGUUGUAUGUUUGCUGUUAUUCCCCCCCUCCCCAAAAAAGAGCAUAUAUGCAUAAGAAAUAAAUAGAAUUAUUUUGUUUCUCCCACAAAGCCCAUGGGAGAUGGCCCAACAAAUGUUUAAAAAGUAAAAGAGGCCAGGCAUGGUGGUUCCCACCUGUAACCCCCACACUUUGGGAGGCCAUGGCGGGUGGAUCACGAGGUCAGGAGUUUGAGACCAGCCUGGCCAACACAGUGAAACCGUGUCUCUACUAUAAAUACAAAAAUUAGCCAGGCAUGGUGGCAGGCACCUGUAGUCCCAGCUACUCAGGAGGCUGAGGCAGGAGAAUCGCUUGAACCCAGGAGGCAGAGGUUGCAGUGAGCCAAGAUCAUGCCACUGCCCUCCAGCCUGGGUGACAGAGCGAGACUCUGUCUCCAAAAAAGAAAAAAGAACUAAAAAGAAAGGAGCAGUUUAUGAUUGAAGAAAACAUGACCUGGGCUGAAAAAGUGAGGAUUGAUUGGAGUGGGCUAGAACGAGCUAUAGUUUCUAGCUCAUUUGUAAGGAGGUAGACAAAGGGGCAUUGGUGCCUCAGAGUGGGUGUCUGGUGAGAGGAAAAACGGUGCUUAAGAGAUUUUCAGGCUAUUGCUGUUGGACAGGCAUAUUUUCUCCCUUUGCCUUUAGCUGUAGAUAAAGUUUGGUUAUGACCUGAGGCUUCUUGUAUUCAAACUUGGCCUAGGGCCUAUGUAGAGGCCCUAGGGUCUACUUGGGGUGGAGGAGGGAAGUAUUUGUAGAAUGUGUAGGCUUGAGAAGUAAAUAAAGCCAAAAAAGCAUCACUUGCUUACAUUU